GGCUGGUCCAAAGGCAGUGAGUUAUCUCCAUUGAUUGUUCAUAGUUACAGAAUGAACUCCUUAUUCCACUCUUUCCCCCUUCUCACUACUGCACUUGACUGGUCUUUA
rnacentral:Y_RNA from 1 species